UACAGAGGUCCCGAGCGUUGUUCGGAUUCACUGGGCGUAAAGGGUGCGUAGGUGGCUUGAAAAGUUUGAUGUGAAAGCUCAGGGCUUAACCCUGAAAUGGCAUUGAAUACUGUCGGGCUGGAGGUUUGGAGGGGGGACUGGAAUUCUUGGUGUAGCAGUGAAAUGCGUAGAUAUCAAGAGGAACUCCAGUGGCGAAGGCGAGUCCCUGGACAACACCUGACACUGAGGCACGAAAGCUAGGGGAGCAAACAGG
rnacentral:rRNA from 1 species